AAAUUUUAAAUGUUUAAUAUGUAUUUGGAUUAUCAAAGUUGGGAUAACAAUGUAGAUAUGAGUUGGGUCAAUGUGAGAUGACUUGUAAGUUGUGGGAGUUGACGUAAUACAAUAGGAGUGAAAGGGUGUAAGUGUUAUUUGUGCUAUAUAAGUCAAAAAAAAUGGGGCAGGAAACCAUUUUUUUUUCACUUUCCCUUUUCUUUUUUUUUUCUCUUCUUUGGCGUCUCUCUCUCUCUCUCGGCUCUCACCUCUCUCACCUUCUCUCUUCGAUUUCAUCGACCACGAGUGAGACUUUUGAAAAAUCCCAAGUACUAAAGUUGUUCUACGCGACGAGAGCUUCCUAUCCAUCGAAGAAAAUUCACGAUCGGAGCACUUCGAAGUUUCCUCCAUAUUCGGGCUUGCUUCUAACCCUCGAGGUACUUGUCAUGACACUUAGCUUGGAUUGCAUGGAGUGCACAUUGAGACGUCUCUUGAGCGCUUCAUUGGAACCUUUAAGGAGUGGUUUAUCAUCAAGUUUGAUUCAUGUCAUGUACUUUACUUGCAAUUGAAGGUUGUAUCUUUUGAUUAGAUCAUAUGUAAAGCUAUGUACAAACUCCUCUCCUUGAUGAUUAUGAAACCCAUUUAAGUGUAAACGUUUGGGAGACUUUAUGUAAAAAAAAAAAAAAAAAAAUUUAGAGAGAA